UCCGGUUUGUCACCGGCAGUCUCAUUAGAGUGCCCAACUUAAUGAUGGCAACUAAUGACAAGGGUUGCGCUCGUUGCGGGACUUAACCCAACAUCUCACGACACGAGCUGACGACAGCCAUGCAGCACCUGUGUCCACUUUCUCUUACGAGCACCUAAUGUAUCUCUACUUCGUUAGUGGCAUGUCAAGGGUAGGUAAGGUUUUUCGCGUUGCAUCGAAUUAAUCCACAUCAUCCACCGCUUGUGCGGGUCCCCGUCAAUUCAUUUGAGUUUUAAUCUUGCGACCGUACUCCCCAGGCGGUCAACUUCACGCGUUAGCUUCGUUACUAAGUCAAUGAAGACCCAACAACCAGUUGACAUCGUUUAGGGCGUGGACUAC
rnacentral:misc_RNA from 1 species